UUAAGUUCAGCGGGUAUUCCUACCUGAUCCGAGGUCAAAUUUUCAGAGUUGGGGGUUUUACGGCAGGGCCGCGCCAGAACAGUCCAAAGCGAGGGUUUUACUACUACGCUCGGAGUCCUGGCGAGCUCGCCACUGAAUUUCAGGGCUUGCCCUCCCGAGGGAAGGCAAUGCCCCAACACAAGCCAGGCUUGAGGGUUGAA
rnacentral:misc_RNA from 1 species